CGGGAUUAUUAUCUUCGGAUGAUAUGAGAGUGGCGAACGGGUGAGUAACACGUAAGAAUCUACCUUUAGGACGGGGAUAACUUCUGGAAACGGAUGCUAAUACCCGAUAUGCUGUGGAGUGAAAGGAAUUUCGCCUAAAGAUGAUCUUGCGUCUGAUUAGCUAGAUAGUGUGGUAAUGGCGCACUAUGGGCGACGAUCAGUAGCUGGUCUGAGAGGAUAGACAGCCACAUUGGGACUGAGACACGGUCCAAACUC
rnacentral:rRNA from 1 species